CCUACGGGUGACAGCAGUGGGGAAUAUUGGGCAAUGGGCGAAAGCCUGACCCAGCAACGCCGCGUGAAGGAAGAAGGCUUUCGGGUUGUAAACUUCUUUUGACAGGGAAGAGCAGAAGACGGUACCUGUCGAAUAAGUCACGGCUAACUACGUGCCAGCAGCCGCGGUAACACGUAGGUGGCAAGCGUUGUCCGGAUUUACUGGGUGAAAGGGGCGUGUAGCCGGGCGGACAAGUCAGAUGUGAAAUCCGGGGGCUCAACCCCCGAACUGCAUUUGAAACUGUUGGUCUUGAGUAUCGGAGAGGCAGGCGGAAUUCCUGGUGUAGCGGUGAAAUGCGUGGAUAUUAGGAGGAAAACAAGUGGCGAGGGCGGCCUGCUGGACGAAAACUGACGGUGGGGGGCGAAAGCGUGGGGAGAAAACAGGAUUAGAUACCCGGGUAGU
rnacentral:rRNA from 1 species